CUGAUGUCUUUAUGUCCUUAAAGUCAUGUACCAUCAGAGUGAAAAAUGAGUAUGCAGUAUGCUACGUCAACAGUACAGGAGACACCUCUGAUUGGAUAGAAAUAUGUUCUGAACUAAUAAAUAUUCUUUUGGUGAUGGACUGAACAAGCAGGUACAUUUUAGAGUCGAAGAUGGAACAUGCCAAAUAAAAGCGGGAAAUGGAUUCUAUGUGUGUGUCCGUGAUUGCAGUUACCAUAACCAUGCCGAUGUGGAAACUGUAGCUGAUGGAAAUAGGCAACCUGAGCCGCCAACUCAAGGAAAUGUGAUUGAAGGGUCAUCCAUCCUUCUAAACUGUUCCUUCACAAUCGGCCGACAACGGUCCUAUGUUGUCUACUGGCUGAAGGUGAACAGUGGGGAUGGGAGAGCCACCUGCAUAUCGUCCUACAGCAGCAGAGACAGCACAACGGGAACACAAAAGACUGGACUAUGA